rnacentral:lncRNA from 1 species
UCGUCCACGAACUAUUCAAAUAUACCUACGGUGGUCCGGUUGAGGAGGAGCAGCAAUGGAGGAGUUGCAGUGAGUAAUGGAGAAGCUGGAGCGCCUGAGUCUGGACCAGCGAUAAUGAGGAGCUGCUGGAGUUUGGACCGGCGGUGAUGCACAAUAACGUGCCUAUGAGGAGCUGCAGCAGCGAUGACGGACAGCGACGUGCGAUGAGGAGUUGCAGCCGCGAUGAUGAAUGGCUGUAGUCCGGACAAAGGCCAAGACGAUGAGGAGUUGCACUGCACAACGUUGUGCUACGUUUUGUUUUCUUUUGUCUUAGGAGAGACCGAAUGAAUGCGAAAUAGGUAGGACUUCAACUUAAGAAUUUGAUAAUUAAGGGACAGGGGCACUGCAUUUAAUUUUUUUUUCAAACUUUUUAAAUUAAUUUAUUUAACUAACAACUUUUUACAUGAUGCUAAAAAAAAAAAAUUCAAAUUUAAACUGUCUGGCUUGCCUGUUAAGCACCGGGCAUAAGAAAUUCCCAUCUAACACUAAUGGUUAGAUCACAGUCCAAUUCAUUAGCGUUGGACUUAUCAAAUUCAAAAUCGAACCGAAACAUUCAUCAGGAGACCUAUUCUCUGUAUCAAAACUAGCUGGUUUGAAUAAGCAAUUUAAUUCGAUUUUGAUUUUUUUCAAAUAAAUCAUUUAAUAAAAUUGUGUAUUUAAAAUUCAUACAUGUGCAAAAUAUAUAUUAAAUAAUAAAAUUUAAGUUGGUUUUAGUUUUUUUUACUUAUAAAAAUAUUAUUUUUAUUUAAAUAUAAUAUUAGUUUAGUUUAUAUAUUGAUAUUGCAUAUAUUAAAUAUUAUAUUGAUUAUGUUGCCGAAAUUAAACUAUGUUGUGAAUAGCUAAAAUAAUAUUGCAGAAAUUAGAUUGAUGACGUGGAUAAAAUAGAACUGCGUUGUGGUUGGCUAGAACCUGCAAGUAAGAGAAUAUGAGGUGGUAGUAGGUACUCACAGCAGCCACUCCGAUGCUCAAAUCAGUAUAUAGAAGAGUAGAGAUAAUGCAAUGAAUUGUUUAAAAUUUUAGUGUUAGAGAAUAGCGUACCUUUUCAUCUGUGACCUUUCUCCUUUUAUACUAUAACAAGAUGGAAAUAAAUAUGGCAUUUUCUAAUAACUUGGCAGUGAUGGGGCCGACUAUUUGAUAAAGGAUAUUACCAGCUGAUGGACUGGUAAUCUCACGAUUAUAGGCGUAAU